rnacentral:rRNA from 1 species
UACGUAGGGUGCAAGCGUUGUCCGGAAUUAUUGGGCGUAAAGAGCUCGUAGGCGGUCAGUCGCGUCUGCUGUGAAAACUCGGGGCUUAACCCCGGACUUGCAGUGGGUACGGGCAGACUAGAGUGUGGUAGGGGAGACUGGAAUCCUGGUGUAGCGGUGGAAUGCGCAGAUAUCAGGAGGAACACCGAUGGCGAAGGCAGGUCUCUGGGCCACUACUGACGCUGAGAAGCGAAAGCAUGGGGAGCGAACAGG